AAGGAUAUGAACACCAGCAGAUGAAGAUCAUCAGUACCAUCUUGGAGGCUGGCUACCACAACACAACCCAGUGAUUCCAUGGAAAGCAGAAAGAAGGACAUAAAGAAACGGAUACUUGGUGACAUCUUUGACUCACUGGAUCAAACCUUGCCUGAAGCUCACAUUUCUGAAAUUUCCAGAUACAAGAACAAAUACUUCCUCUUUAUUGUUUUACUAGAUUUGAGACAAGCUUUAAGUUUCUCAGACUCUUCCUCUUCCUAACAGAUUUAUCAGAAGCUGAAAGCUCUGAUCUUGUUGGGAUGCGGAUCGUGUCAGGAGAAGGCUUACUUUGCACGCUUUUCUUAGUCUGGUUGCCUAACUCAAGAACCUCGGCAUGGCUCUGUUACUUCU
rnacentral:lncRNA from 10 species